rnacentral:rRNA from 1 species
CCUACGGGUGGCAGCAGUGAGGAAUAUUGCACAAUGGGGGAAACCCUGAUGCAGCGACGCCGCGUGCGUGAUGACGUAUUUCGGUAUGUAAAGCUCUAUCUGCAGGGAAGUAAAUGACGGUACCUGAUUAAGAUGCCACGGCUAACUUCGUGCCAGCAGCCGCGGUAAUACGGAGGGGGCAAGCGUUAUCCGGAUUUACUGGGUGUAAAGGGGGCGUAGACGGCAGCACAAGUAUGGAGUGAAAUGCCGGGGCUUAACCCCGGAACUGCGGUGGAAACUGGGCAGCUAGAGUGCAGGGGAGGUAAGUGGAAUUCGUAGUGUAGCGGUGAAAUGCGUAGAUAUGAGGAGGAACACCAGUGGCGAAGGCGGCUUACUGGACUGGAACUGACGUUGAGGCUCGAAAGCGUGGGGAUCGAACAGGAUUAGAUACCCCGGUAGUC